CUUGCGCGCACCGGCGGACGGCUCAGUAACACGUCGGUAACCUACCCUCGGGAGGGGGAUAACCCCGGGAAACUGGGGCUAAUCCCCCAUAGGCCUGAGGUACUGGAAGGUCCUCAGGCCGAAAGGGGCUUCGGCCCGCCCGAGGAUGGGCCGGCGGCCGAUUAGGUAGUUGGUGGGGUAACGGCCCACCAAGCCGAAGAUCGGUACGGGCCAUGAGAGUGGGAGCCCGGAGAUGGACACUGAGACACGGGUCCAGGCCCUACGGGGCGCAGCAGGCGCGAAACCUCCGCAAUGCGGGAAACCGCGACGGGGGGACCCCCAGUGCCGUGGCAUCGCCACGGCUUUUCCGGAGUGUAAAGAGCUCCGGGAAUAAGGGCUGGGCAAGGCCGGUGGCAGCCGCCGCGGUAAUACCGGCGGCCCGAGUGGUGGCCGCUAUUAUUGGGCCUAAAGCGUCCGUAG
rnacentral:rRNA from 1 species